UGAGUUUAUCUCAAGACUUCCCAAAUCGAUAUUGAAAGUUUUUUUUCUGCAGGGGUUAGUCCGACAAAAAUAUACCAAUGUCUACACAAGCAGUUUUUAGUUCAAUAACCUAACUAGACACCAUGUCUAAUCAGAUUAAGGAAGGCUGUUUAACCUAAGCACCAUGCUUAAUUUAAAAGCUAAUAGAAGUAUGUGCAGUACUUCCAAACUAACACUUACUAGUAAAUAGACAAAGGUAACAUGACAGCAUUUAUAGUGAUCUACUCAAGUGG
rnacentral:lncRNA from 1 species